AGAAUGACAGCCCUGGAGACCUGUCAGUACAUAGAAAAGAUUGUAUGGAUUGUAGCUUACCAACUCGAGCCGGAUUCUGAUGAUGAAACGGUUGAAGUGGUUGACUGAUAAGAGACUGAUUCACAAGCACGACUGGAGCAGGACAUUUCUCAGUGAGCCAAGGAGAGAUGGAUGGAUGGAGAGACAGAAGAUGGGGAGAACAGAGGCAUUCCCAAACGGAUGAAGACAACAUGUUUUCAUGGCAACUUGGCCUUGGCAGGACUCGGCUGCGUCGGAAGUUCCCGCUGACGGCUGUUAUCAUAGAAGAGACAUAUCCAUGGUGAUAGCAGCAGCCGUUCACAUACAGGCUGAUGAGGGACAUUUCAGAAGCCUUGUGUUACUGCCAUUUAUGAGCAAGGUCAUUCCCACGGGACACGCCGAAAACAUCAGUAACGCUGAGACAAGUGGCCUCCAAUGGCAACACCACGCGAUCUCAUUGGCUGGAGCAAAGCGG